AUGCGUACAAGCCUGUACGCAGACGACGCCAUUAUCUUCAUAAACCCCGAUCGCACAGAUAUAGACAACCUACUAGAUCUUCUGCAACUUUUCGGCGACGCGACGGGGCUGCGCGUCAACCUGUCAAAAUCUUCGGCGAUCCCCAUUAGAUGCGACGACAUAGACAUUCAGGAUGUUCUGCACAAUUUCGCUGGCCCUACGGCGGCGUUCCCGCUUAAAUACCUAGGGCUUCCUGUCACGAUUGGCCGCAUCAAGUUAGUCCAUCUUCAGGCCAUCCUCGACAGGAUUAGAGCGAGGUUAGCUGGCUGGAAAGGUAAACUCUUGCCAUUGGCAGGAUGCCGUGUUCUAGUGCGCUGUGUGCUUUCUGCCAUCCCUACCUUCGCGCUUACGGCGCUGCGAAUCCCAAAAAGAUUCCUUAAGGAGAUCGCUAAAGCAAGACGGCGUUUUCUCUGGGCGGGCGACGAGGAAAUCUCGGGCGGCAACUGCAAGGUUGGAUGG
rnacentral:rRNA from 1 species